rnacentral:lncRNA from 1 species
GUUUGUUUUUCUUUUCUCCAUUCAAAUACUUUUUUUACAUCAAUCUAUGCUUGUGCAAUAGGAGCAUCAUUUCUGCAUGCUUUGGAAAAUCUUAGGCAUAGAAACUGAGGGCGUCUUGAAUGGAUUAGGUCUGGGCAGAGAUGUCCUAGUUCAAGAUUUUGCCAAAAUGUGCAUGGUGACGCAUGCAAGUAGACUAAACACAGAAGAGAAGUCUUAGAAUGAAGUCAUUACCCAUAUAAAGGAGCUGCUAUUCUGUAAAAGGAGGAAUCUAUCAGUUUGACCAUGAGUAGCAGCCAGCACGGAUUUGUCAAGAAUAAACCACUUCCUUGCUGUCAGUGCCUUCUAGAAAUAAGCUUUCUCAUAACC